ensembl:lncRNA
AGCCACUCGGAUACGCCCGAGCCUCUCCGGAGCGGGGGACAGGACCCAAUGAGUGACGCCUCAGCUGCUUCCCGUACCUGGGGAUGUGGGUCCCCCUACUCCCCUCCCCCUGUUCACCUCCGUCCACCCAACUGACUCUAAUCACUUCUGAAGGACCCCAUACGCUACCAGCCCUCGAGUGCACACGUUUCACUCAGGCAUUUAGACGGACAUCAAAACGCAUUACCUCAGAGAUCAGAAGACGUGUGUUGAGGCAGGGUGUGGAAAUGAAGACAUUAACUCUGUCUGCUGACUCGGAGGAACCUGUACAGUUCCUGAGUGGCAGAAAACAGAAGGAGGACGAGCUGUGACCGCAGUGGAGGCUUUAAUGACACCUGCUGGUGUUUUGCCCAGCUAUCCCUGGCCUUCCCCGCUCCGCUUGCAUCUUCUCCGCGUAGAGCACCGCGUCUGACCGCAUCCAUUGGACGGAUCGGCAGGCUUCUAUAUAUUCACAUCUUCCUCCUACGUAUUCCUUUGAAGACUGAAAUAAACUGCGGGAGAUCUUUGAGACAAUGUUGCAGAAGAUGAAGUAGAAUAUGUCUCACAGGUUAGAUAAAGUUUCAAUGAAAACGUGUGAUUGCUCCAACACUUCCCGUUUAUCGAUUUGUAGCGUACUUGUUUCUUGUUACACAUCUGAGAAAACAACUUCCACACCUGUUUCAAAAGGCUAAUCGUAAAUACGCAAUUCUUUGACUUUUUUUGUAAACCUCAUUAAGAUGUAUUUAAUUCAAUCAAUGAUGUAAUCAAAUCAAAUCAUGAUAGAUAAUAAAGUGCUGAGAUAAAGUAUAGGUCUACAGCAUCACUAGCACACCCCACCAAGGCUAUUUUUCUCAUAUUUCCAAUGGCUCUGAAGCAGGGGAACUAGAGAGGGAAAGGCAGAGGUACAAAGAAAUGGGGAAACAAGAGACUAUACCGAAUUUGAAUAGAAUGAGGGGGGCAGAGGAGAGUGAGUGUCAAAGUAAGUGUGUGUGUGGAGGAGGCUGAGGGGGUGAGUGAGAUCAUUUUAAUUUCAAAGAAAAUCAUUUUAAAGCUGGAUUACAGUAUGCCUACCAUAGGAACUAUUGACCUAUAUGGAAGAUGAAAGUUCACUGAGGCCCCAUGGGUAUUGUGGGUGAUACUGAGGAGAACGCAUGACAGGGCAUCAUUACUCAUAUUGUUGCUAUAACAAAGACAGUCCACAUAUAUAAUUUCUGGUGUUGUUUUCAUUAUUGUUUUUCAAGGUCUGUGGUCAGUUAUACAGUUGAAGUCAGAAGUUUACAUACACCUUAGCCAAAUACAUUUGAACUCAGAUUUUCACAAUUCCUGAAAUGUAAAAAAAACACACAAAAAACUGUAACAGACUGCCCCCAACUUGUGAGCAAUGUUGAUUCAUCAUUCAAGACAGAUUAAAAUAAAAGUUUAUUGAUUAUUGUGACCAUUCUCCUUCUCUGUCAGUGACCAUUCUCUGUCAGUGGCAACAGCUGGACAGUGGCUGAAAGAAGCCAAUAUGAGGUUAAGAAUGAAGUCCCUGGAAGCUUGGUCCACAUUCCAUAUUUCUUUAACUUCAUUCCCUCUAAAUGAAGGGCUUAUUGGCCCUGUCUCUCUCAAACAGAGACACACACACACACACAAUAGACUGCGCAGAAGCGGGGGGCAUAAAGGAAACCGUUUAGCAUGCAUUAUUAAUUACUAUUUGAGCAACUGUCUGUGUCUGUGCGGUCAGCUAAGGGGGCUUGGGGGCGGGGGGAUCCGCGGCUGAGCAAACACACAGGCAGGUUCCAGCUAGAGCGUCAAACGCGUCCCUCCAUCACUGCAGCCAUUGGUAGAAAUGUCUGUUUCCAGUCUGUUGGCUUGGGUUGUUGGGCUCAUAGCCUGCGUCAAUGCCUUGGAGACAGCAGCGCUACGCGCUACACUGCUCCACUAUUUCCCCUGACCCUGUGUAGGCUCUCACGCUCAGUUAAGCAAACACUGGACCCUCUGAUCAUCAGACGCUCUUCGACAAAUCAGUGUGCGAUUCUGCAAGAGCAAGUGCACAUCGUAAACUACUAUUUUUCUACACUCUAUAUCUCUCCAUGAUGGAUUUACCUUUAGUGGUGACAGCUACCUCGUAUCCCGAGUGAGGGGAGUCUUAUCAAUUGCCAAGUUUCGUCAAUUCCUGGAGUUUUGAGUGGGGAAGCAAGCGUUUUUUCCUCUCUUGAUCCUCACUCGUAUUUCACCACCGCAUCAGCUGGA